AGGGUUGUGGCUCAGUGGAAGAGCACCUGCUUUGCAUGCAGAAGGUGCCAGGUUUAAUCCCCCAUGGCAUCUCCA